rnacentral:snRNA from 1 species
AUGCUUGCUUUGGCAGCAUAUAUACUAAGAUUGGAGUGAAACAGAGAUUAGCACGGGCCCUGCACAGGCUGACAUGCAGAUUCAUGAAGCUUCCAUAUUAAAA